UGUUACUGCAUUCAUCAUUGUUACUGGAGUUAUUCUUGGAUUCAUCCUCAGAAAAAUUCAUUGCAGAAACUGUUCAAGAACUGCUACAUCUGGAUUACCUGUAUGUAAAACUCCCAGCUCUUUGGAUCAAGAUGACACAGAUGACCCCUA